rfam:Asian citrus Psyllid, Diaphorina citri - Florida Strain, whole genome shotgun sequence.
GACAGUGGUGAUAGCACGUUGAAUUCACCAGUUCCCAAGGGAUCACUGGAGUUAAGCAACGCUUCGCGUAGUUGGUAUCCGGAUGAGUGACAAUCUGGGCAAUGGUGUGCCCAGAUU